CGAGUUUCAACGACCCCUUAAUCAGAGCGUUUCAGCGGCUCGCUACAGUAACCCCUUUUCAGACAGUUUUCACUCCAUAUUUAUAUUUUUUUCUUUUCUUUUCGCAGUAACAACACAACGCGAACGCUGACUCUGCAUUUCUUGGUUGUGUCUCCCGCGUUUCACGGACCCCACCGGCGGCUUUUUCCAGCGUCAACAGCGUCGCAGCCAAUCUGCGUAGAAAUCCCGGCCGCUCAGUCGACCCGCUUUGUGAGCGUCUGCUUUUAUCCUUCACAGUCCUACACCACGAUGAACAACCCCAACUACCUGGCAUACCCCGGGGUACUCGCCGCCCCCGGCCAGUACCGCUCGCUCAGUGAGAGAUGGGACACCAAGUACUACGAAGCGCACAGAGACUCGGUCAGGAAAGCCAAAGCCAUGAUCGACACCCAGCCGCCAAGGAAGUACGUCCACUCCCAAGUGGAUCUGAAGAAGUUGCAGAAGGAACACGAAAAAUCAGCUCAGAUUGAGCGAGAGAACCGAAUACUGCAGCACAAACUGGACACCACCAAGUAUUCAGUGGACAACUGGAACAACUACAGACCCCGCAGUCUGAACUAUCGGAAGAGGGUCAAAGAGCUGGAGAAAAUCAUCCACGAGAACGAGGCCAUGAUGAAGCGAGUCGAGGCCCAGAGGACCUGCUACAACCGGGACAAGUUUGAGAAGGGCUUUCGGGUGACAAGAGAACACAUUGCGCGCAUCACAAAACACCCCGGCCUGACCGUUCAUCAGUAUGAGGUGCCAGUCACCUCUCCAAAGUUCCCGUCUGUCUACGCCUCAUGCUGCCAGCAGUGUGCCUACUUGCACCAGUGACGGCCACGGCUGCUCUUCUUGAGUCAAUCAGCACAAAUGUCUUGGACAUGAUGGAUAAGAAGAGGUGGCACCUUACUGCCCAUCCGCUCAUGAGGCCUUAGCGCCAGCAGUCGGCCCGAGAACAAACCAGGCGGGCUCAGUGAGAGUCGGCAUCAGGCCCCUGCAUUUUGUGUUCUUCUGCUCCAGAAGUAGACGGCGGGCCACACCGGACACGUGCUUUGUAACGGACAGAAGAUGAAGAUGAGGCUCAGGAGACGCAGAUUUGAGACGGUGGAGGAGAUCCAAGCGGUAACAACCGACGUCUUGAACACACUGACAAAAAAACGACUUCCAGAGGUGCUUCGAAAGGCUGAAAUCUCGCUGGGAUUGGUGCAUCGACUCGGCGGGUGACUCUUUUGAAGGAACUGUUCACCGUGAAUUGUUAUUUGGUGUGUAUGCUUUGAAAUAAAUGCACUGCGGGAACUUCUAGAUCGCACCUCGUAUAAAGGACACAUUUAAAAGGCAUUACAUCAUUUUUGUUAAAGGAACUAGAUUAGAGGCAGAGAAAAGGCGCUAUAUAAGACGCAGUUAUAGAAAGUUGCUGUAUAAUCAAUGGAGACGUGAAACGUUCUGUACAAGACAAGUAGAUAGGAAAGGUGCUAUAUAGAGUAAGAGUGGUGGAGGUGAAAGGCACUAUAUAAGAAGCAGUGAUUUGAAAGGCACUAGUUAAUCGAUUGAAUUUUUUUUGGUGUGUAAGGCCCUUUAUAUGAGACGGCCGGAGCGCACAUUGAUUUAUGUCAAAUUCCCUGUAUAAGAGAGCUAAACCUGAAAGGCGCUAUAUACUAGAUUAAAAUAUGUGAACGGCACUGUAGAAGGCACGGCUAGAUUUGGAAAGCACACUAUAAUACUGUAGAUUAAAUUUUAGGAACGGCGCUAUAUGUGAAAUGCCAUACAUAACACCGAUUUUAAAAGGCCCCUCAUAAUUGAUGUAUAUGAAUGGCGACAUAUAAGAGAAAGAUAUGAAAGGCACUAUAAACUAAAUAGCUGAAGAGCGCCCCCUACAUUGAGAAGAGGACAACUCUGCUGCCGGCCGAGAAGUUCAGGCUCCUCAGAUCUUUGGCCGAGGGACA